AACGAACGCUGGCGGCAUGCCUAACACAUGCAAGUCGAACGAAGGCUUCGGCCUUAGUGGCGCACGGGUGCGUAACGCGUGGGAAUCUGCCCUUUGGUUCGGAAUAACAGCUUGAAACGGCUGCUAAUACCGGAUGAUGACGAAAGUCCAAAGAUUGAUCGCCAGAGGAUGAGCCCGCGUUGGAUUAGGUAGUUGGUGGGGUAAAGGCCUACCAAGCCGACGAUCCAUAGCUGGUCGGAGAGGAUGAUCAGCCACACUGGGACUGAGACACGGCCCAGACUCGUACGGGAGGCAGCAGUGGGGAAUAUUGGACAAUAGGCGCAAGGCUGAGCCAGCAAUGCCGCGUGAGUGAUGAAGGCCCUAGGGUUGUAAAGCUCUUUUAACCGGGAAGAUAAUGACUGUACCGGGAGAAUAAGCCCCGGCUAACUCCGUG
rnacentral:rRNA from 1 species